rnacentral:piRNA from 1 species
UAAGAAUCCCAUAAGGUAGCAACCAGC